rnacentral:rRNA from 1 species
AGAAAGCACCGGCUAAACUCGUGCCAGCAGCCGCGGUAAUACGAGUGGUGCAAGCGUUAUUCGGAAUCAUUGGGCGUACAGGGUGUGUAGGCGGUAUGUUAAGUCUGCUGUUAAAGCCUCCGGCCUAACCGGAGAUAGGCGGCGGAAACUGGCGUACUAGAGGGUGGAAGAGAGAAGUGGAAUUCUCGGUGUAGCGGUAAAAUGCGUACAUAUCGANAGGAACACCGAUGGCGAAGGCAGCUUCUUGGUCCAUUCCUGACGCUGAAACACGAAAGCGUGGGGAGCAAACAGGAUUAGAUACCCUGGUAGUCCACGCUGUAAACGAUGAUCACUANACGUUGGCUCUGUUUUACAGGGUCAGUGUCGCANCUAACGCG